GCGACCGGCCACACUGGGACUGAGACACGGCCCAGACUCCUACGGGAGGCAGCAGUGGGGAAUAUUGCACAAUGGGCGAAAGCCUGAUGCAGCGACGCCGCGUGAGGGAUGACGGCCUUCGGGUUGUAAACCUCUUUCAGCAGGGAAGAAGCGCAAGUGACGGUACCUGCAGAAGAAGCGCCGGCUAACUACGUGCCAGCAGCCGCGGUAAUACGUAGGGCGCAAGCGUUGUCCGGAAUUAUUGGGCGUAAAGAGCUCGUAGGCGGUUUGUCGCGUCGGAUGUGAAAGCCCGGGGCUUAACCCCGGGUCUGCAUUCGAUACGGGCAGACUAGAGUGUGGUAGGGGAGAUCGGAAUUCCUGGUGUAGCGGUGAAAUGCGCAGAUAUCGGGAGGAACACCGGUUGCGAAGGCGGAUCUCUGGGCCAUUACUGACGCUGAGGAGCGAAAGCGUGGGGAGCGAACAGGAUUAGAUACCCUGGUAGUCCACGCCGUAAACGGUGGGAACUAGGUGUUGGCGACAUUCCACGUCGUCGGUGCCGCAGCUAACGCAUUAAGUUCCCCGCCUGGGGAGUACGGCCGCAAGGCUAAAACUCAAAGGAAUUGACGG
rnacentral:rRNA from 1 species